GACGAACGCUGGCGGCGUGCUUAACACAUGCGAGUCGAACGAUGAAGCCGGAGCUUGCUCUGGUGAAUUAGUGGCGAACGGGUGAGUAACACGUGAGUAACCUGCCCUUGACUCUGGGAUAACUGCUAGAAAUGGUAGCUAAUACCGGAUACGACCCUCGGAGGCAUCUUCAGGGGGUGGAAAGAAUUUCGGUCAAGGAUGGACUCGCGGCCUAUCAGCUAGUUGGUGAGGUAAUGGCUCACCAAGGCGACGACGGGUAGCCGGCCUGAGAGGGUGACCGGGCACACUGGGACUGAGACACGGCCCAGACUCCUACGGGAGGCAGCAGUGGGGAAUAUUGCACAAUGGGCGCAAGCCUGAUGCAGCGACGCCGCGUGAGGGGUGACGGCCUUCGGGUUGUAAACCUCUUUCAGCACCGACGAAGCGCAAGUGACGGUAGGUGCAGAAGAAGGACCGGCCAACUACGUGCCAGCCGCCGCGGUAA
rnacentral:rRNA from 1 species